rnacentral:rRNA from 1 species
GGGUGCGAUCAUACCAGCACUAAUGCACCGUAUCCCAUCAGAACUCCGAAAUUAAGCRUGCUUGGGCGAUAGUAGUACUAGGAUGGGUGACCUCCUGGGAAGUCCUCGUGUUGCACCCC